UUACACAUGCAAGUCGAACGGCAGCGCGGGGCAACCUGGCGGCGAGUGGCGAACGGGUGAGUAAUAUAUCGGAACGUACCCUGGAGUGGGGGAUAACGUAGCGAAAGUUACGCUAAUACCGCAUACGAUCUAAGGAUGAAAGUGGGGGAUGCGUAAGCACCUCAUGCUCCUGGAGCGGCCGAUAUCUGAUUAGCUAGUUGGUGGGGUAAAGGCCCACCAAGGCAUCGAUCAGUAGCUGGUCUGAGAGGACGACCAGCCACACUGGGACUGAGACACGGCCCAGACUCCUACGGGAGGCAGCAGUGGGGAAUUUUGGACAAUGGGCGCAAGCCUGAUCCAGCAAUGCCGCGUGAGUGAAGAAGGCCUUCGGGUUGUAAAGCUCUUUUGUCAGGGAAGAAACGGGUUUGGCUAAUAUCCAGAUCUAAUGACGGUACCUGAAGAAUAAGCACCGGCCAACUACGUGCCAGCAGCCGCGGUAAUACGUAGGGUGCAAGCGUUAAUCGGAAUUACUGGGCGUAAAGCGUGCGCAGGCGGUUUUGUAAGUCUGUCGUGAAAUCCCCGGGCUCAACCUGGGAAUGGCGAUGGAGACUGCAAGGCUAGAGUUUGGCAGAGGGGGGUAGAAUUCCACGUGUAGCAGUGAAAUGCGUAGAGAUGUGGAGGAACACCGAUGGCGAAGGCAGCCCCCUGGGUCAAGACUGACGCUCAUGCACGAAAGCGU
rnacentral:rRNA from 1 species